UCUAGCCAUGGGCAGGUUGAAGGUUGGGUAACACUAACUGGAGGACCGAACCGACUAAUGUUGAAAAAUUAGCGGAUGACUUGUGGCUGGGGGUGAAAGGCCAAUCAAACCGGGAGAUAGCUGGUUCUCCCCGAAAGCUAUUUAGGUAGCGCCUCGUGAACUCAUCUUCGGGGGUAGAGCACUGUUUCGGCUAGGGGGUCAUCCCGACUUACCAACCCGAUGCAAACUGCGAAUACCGAAGAAUGUUAUCACGGGAGACACACGGCGGGUGCUAACGUCCGUCGUGAAGAGGGAAACAACCCAGACCGCCAGCUAAGGUCCCAAAGUCACAGUUAAGUGGGAAACGAUGUGGGAAGGCUCAGACAGCCAGGAUGUUGGCUUAGAAGCAGCCAUCAUUUAAAGAAAGCGUAAUAGCUCACUGGUCGAGUCGGCCUGCGCGGAAGAUGUAACGGGGCUAAACUGUGCACCGAAGCUGCGGCAGCGACGCUUAUGCGUUGUUGGGUAGGGGAGCGUUCUGUAAGCCUGCGAAGGUGUCCUGUGAGGGAUGCUGGAGGUAUCAGAAGUGCGAAUGCUGACAUAAGUAACGAUAAUGCGGGUGAAAAGCCCGCUCGCCGGAAGACCAAGGGUUCCUGUCCAACGUUAAUCGGGGCAGGGUGAGUCGACCCCUAAGGCGAGGCCGAAAGGCGUAGUCGAUGGGAAACGGGUUAAUAUUCCCGUACUUGGUGUUACUGCGAAGGGGGGACGGAGAAGGCUAUGUUGGCCGGGCGACGGUUGUCCCGGUUUAAGCGUGUAGGCUGGUUUUCCAGGCAAAUCCGGAAAAUCAAGGCUGAGGCGUGAUGACGAGGCACUACGGUGCUGAAGCAACAAAUGCCCUGCUUCCAGGAAAAGCCUCUAAGCAUCAGGUAACAUCAAAUCGUACCCCAAACCGACACAGGUGGUCAGGUAGAGAAUACCAAGGCGCUUGAGAGAACUCGGGUGAAGGAACUAGGCAAAAUGGUGCCGUAACUUCGGGAGAAGGCACGCUGACACGUAGGUGAAGUGAUUUACUCA
rnacentral:rRNA from 1 species